UACGGGGGGAGCAAGCGUUGUUCGGAAUUACUGGGCGUAAAGGGCGCGUAGGCGGCCAUCUAAGUCAGACGUGAAAUCCCCCGGCUUAACCUGGGAACUGCGUCUGAUACUGGACGGCUUGAGUAUGGGAGAGGGAUGUAGAAUUCCUGGUGUAGCGGUGAAAUGCGCAGAUAUCAGGAGGAACACCGGUGGCGAAGGCGGUUCUCUGGGCCUGUUCUGACGCUGAGGAGCGAAAGCGUGGGGAGCGAACAGG
rnacentral:rRNA from 1 species